rnacentral:rRNA from 1 species
AGUGAACGCUGGCGGUAGGCCUAACACAUGCAAGCCGAACGGCAGCACAGUAAGAGCUUGCUCUUACGGGUGGCGAGUGGCGGACGGGUGAGGAAUACAUCGGAAUCUACUUUUUCGUGGGGGAUAACGUAGGGAAACUUACGCUAAUACCGCAUACGACCUACGGGUGGAAGCAGGGGAUCUUCGGACCUUGCGCGAUUGAAUGAGCCGAUGUCGGAUUAGCUAGUUGGCGGGGUAAAGGCCCACCAAGGCGACGAUCCGUAGCUGGUCUGAGAGGAUGAUCAGCCACACUGGAACUGAGACACGGUCCAGACUCCUACGGGAGGCAGCAGUGGGGAAUAUUGGACAAUGGGCGCAAGCCUGAUGCAGCCAUACCGCGUGGGUGAAGAAGGCCUUCGGGUUGUAAAGCCCUUUUGUUGGGAAAGAAAAGCAGCAGGUUAAUACCCCGCUGUUCUGACGGUACCCAAAGAAUAAGCACCGGCUAACUUCGUG